AUGACGGUCGCUGGAAGUGUGCAACCGCACAUAUUCGCGUUCAUUCUAGCCUCACGGGUGUUUUUUUGUUACCGGGCCCGCAACUACGCCCCUGAAGACCCGUUAAUCCCGAACAGAGCGAGCCUGUGGUUGGCGUCCUUCCCCUACCCCUGUUGCUUCUCCUGCAAGCGCGUCGAGGAAGAGGGGAAGUCGACACAUGGUGAUUUCGCGGCGGUAUCUCAUCUGCUACUGUUAAUUUCGCGCUGCUGCUCCUAUUGCUGUGGUGUUCUCCGAGCCCUGUGUCUCCCUUCUUCCCCCAACGAGAUUUUUCGGUUGUUGAUGGAGAGGGAGCAACAUCUCAGUAGAUGUAGAUGCAGCAACGCCUGGUCCAUCCAUGAAUGUGGUGUCUUCACAUUUAAGUAUAUGGAGAUAUUCACACCAAGAACUCAGAUGGCAAACUUUUUCUCCAGUGCAGACAUUCCAAAUCUUAGGAUCAGAUAUGCGAAUGACAUGUUUUGCAGCCCCAUGAACAGUUGUGACAAGUCUUUCGUAACUGGUUUCUAUCGUGAUGGAGAAGCAAUGCCGGGUGAGGCGACCUCAUCCUGGUCCUUUAACCUCCUCCCUUUGUUUUGCUUUUUAGCUGCCUUUUUCUAUUUGUUCUGGGCUGGAAAAUGGUUCCAGUCGAUUGGAGAAGACGAGAGGACGAGGCGGCGGCGGCGGAAGAGUCGACGGCAUUCGCGACCGUUGCUGGGGUUCACCGGGCCGAAGCGUCGUCGUUGGAGCAGCCGUGGUGAGAAGGUAAGGCUCCCUCCAUGGUCACAUUCCUCCCUACGAAUUCUUCCCCCUCCCUCCGUGUUCACUUUCCCCUCGAGUUUUCUCGAGAUUUCGGUGCAUUCGCAGCGCUCUGGUGUCCCUGUCGGCGGUGGAGUCGUGUGUUUGCCAUUUAGGGCGGCAUUGCACAGUUUCGUCGUCGUUGCAGUGGCAAUCAUGCCGGUGAGGCUCGCCUGGUCGGCAACCACAUCUAUAUUUGCCUGUGCUUGCGCGAGCGAUUUUCUAGCUAUUAGUUCUGGCACAUGGCAAUUACUGCCCUUUCAGAUGCUUAAACUUUGGGGUAACCAUGAAGGAGCUGCCGGUGAGAUGGGGAUGCAGACUCUGAUGGAUGUUCGGUGCAAGAAUCUAGUAAAUCUUGUAUGCGACUGGCUCGGUGAGAUAUAUGAGCCUGUGUCUAGGGAAUUUGUGAUUCCAGGACCUGGAAGACUGCCUUUGAAUGAGGAAUCUGUGUUCUGCACUUUGGGUGUGCCCCAUGGAGAAAUCAAAGUGUCGUAUGAGGAGGAUAAUGAGAUUGAGGAAGUUUUGUUCGCCCGUUUGUUUCCUGGAAUGGCAUCCAUGCCUAAUACGACUGUGCUGGCAACUUCGCUGGAGGGCAUGAGAACGCAUGGCGAGGUAUUUAAGAUGAAGCUGCUCAUGUACUUGAUAUCAGUUGUCUUUGCGCCUACCACAUCUCUUUGCCCAAGCAACAAGUGCUUCCCUAUCCUGGCGAAGCUGAAAGAUGUUAAGAACAUGAAUUGGUGUAGAUUCAUCGCAGACUUCCUGCAUGAUGCAUUCUCAAACAAGAUGUACCAGAAGGGCUGUCGCUUGCACCUAAUGCUCAUGUACGUCGAUCAUCUUGAUUUGUCAACUGUUGACUUUACUGAGAUAGGAGGCCCGCCGCCUCCACAUAAGUUUGUCAUCUCUGCAUGGACGUAUGAUGCUGUCAAGGCUGUGCUUGCCGCAGACAGGAUAUCUAAUACAAAAUAUGGGAAACUGCAGGUGAUGGCAAAGCAUGCUAUAGACUACAGUGUGUUUGGUGGGCCACAAAACUUUGGCAAGUGGAUAGAUGUGCAUUCAGCUCCAUCUUGUCCUACUGAGGUGAGGGCACCUGUUGAGCACCUAGUCGGGCAGUUUGCUUCUGGCAUGACCAGCUUGCUCGGGAAGUCGGUUGAGGGUUGGACGGCACUUAAUGGUUCUGACAGCGACGACGUUGUGAGGCAGUUCACAUCAUUUGUUGGAGAACGGAUGCAUCGGCCAACUAGUUGUUGUGGCCGAUAUGACUACAAUAGCUCUCAGGAACUCCCUGACACGCAAGAUGAGCUAGGUGGAGAUGCUGGUCUCGACAAGGAUGAUGACGAUGACAUGGAGAAUGUGCAACAUGAAACCGGCGAUGAUGAACAUGUUGAAGUUCUUGAGGCUACAGCUGGUGGACGAUCAGUUAAGAAGAAACAAGCACCCACGCUAACCUGUGUUUCUACCCGAUUGAACAAGGGGGCUCCCACUGCUGGUGCUACCACUUCCACUAGGUCGUCUCCUCACACAUCGACGUCCAACACCGGGGAUCCUAUCGUGCUGGAAGACGUGAAGAAGACAAUGAAGAGGGUGAAGAAGACUACUACACGCUCGACCAAACGCACUACCAAAGACCCACUUGAGCGCAUCCACUCCAAGUUGUCGACAAGUGGCAACUCAGAUAUUCAUGAGCCGCCAGUCGACAAAACUGCUGCAGCACCAUUCACUGUUCCCACUAACUCUGAUGCAAGCGGCCGACCAUCUCCGUCGGUUGCAGAUGUGCAGACUACAACAACAGGCAUACGUACAUCUAGGAGUGACGAGUCAGUAUCUGCCAGGACUGCUGAGAUAUUGCCCACUCUGGUGGUAAUGAGGGAUGCUGUUGUGACCCAUGCCACCCGAUCAGCAAGUGUUGAAGUGGACGCUCCAGAGAUCAACCUAAACAAGGAAGAUUCCCGCUCAUCUGAUGCGGAUUCCAAGCAUGUGAAUGAGAGGCCAUCCACAUGUGAGACUCAUUGCACAACAGCUCUAGCUGCUGGUGGUCCAGAGGCUGCUACGGUGACCGUUGCGCGAGCUGGUCUGCCACCUAGGCGGCGUAGCCCCUGCAAGCAUCUUGCACAGAUAUCCAAUGCACCAGAUGUAGCUAAGAGCAGCAGAGGUGACUCUGGUUAUGUGUCGUUCCCACCUUCUGCCAAAAGCAAUGUUAUGGAGAAAACGGAAGUUCGGAAUACAACUGACGUAGGUGGCAAGCCUUGCAUGACUGAAGGAGGUGAACAUUCAGAGCAGACUGUGUAUUUCACCGCCGUGGAGAACACCAUCUUAAAUUUGCGCACUUCUAAGCUCCUAGUCAACAUUGGUGUCCCCUAUAGCCCAAACAAGCAGAUGGGCAAGAAAGUUGCGAUUGAGACCGCUGACAGCACGCCCCGCCCUACUAAUAAGCCUGAUGAUCCUGGAGCAGAUAAGGCAGAAAUGUUUGUUGAUCUGUCACCUCUAGAUUCUGCCAAGCAACUUUUUCGCGAUCCGGCUGGUAGGCAGGAGAGGCACCCAAUGGCUUUUACCCCAUCGAGCUUUAGCCUUGGCAUCGAUCCCACUCAAGAUGAACCAGUGGUGCAAGAUCGUGUGCCUAUUGCCUUUCCUUUCCCUGUAGGCACGGCUCCAAUGAUGGCGCAGCCAAUGGCUGAUGGCAGGAAGGUUGUGAAGUUUGCAGAGCCGAUAGUGCAAGCCACCCCUGAGGAGAUUUCGCUGUCACUCGAUGAAGCUUACUGUAGGAUUGAGGAGGAAGCAUUGAAGAGGAGCUCAUGUUUGGACAGAACCAAAAUCAUAGAAUGUGAUGCGACAUACGUCGACCUGGUGAUCUUGCCGAGUUUGCAUAUGGACAUUUGUCCCGACAAGACGAUCAUGCAAUACAGCGUGACCUGCAAAAUAUGGGAUGGUGACUUCCACCAUAAAAUUUUGAGGAAGCAUUUUGCCGCACAUGGUGAAUUCAAGCUCACACUGAAGAAAUAUGUCAUGUUCCCCAUGUUCCAGGAGCUUGCACCACACAACCCAGAUGACAAGUGUGGUCACCACUACGCGAUUUGCCUUGACAUGAAGAACCAACGAUUCGAGGUGCUUGAUGCAAUCUGUUUAGGAGAAGACGCAGACCUUACUACACAUGUUGAAUUCUUCAUCAACAACAUGAAAGAGACAUGGAACCGUCACUACGAAAACUCAAAGGUCCAGAUCAGUCAUUUUUCUCGAGCAUGA
rnacentral:rRNA from 1 species